rnacentral:rRNA from 1 species
CGACGUCGCAUGCUCCCGGCCGCCAUGGCGGCCGCGGGAAUUCGAUUAGAGUUUGAUCAUGGCUCAGGACGAACGCUGGCGGCGUGCUUAACACAUGCAAGUGGAGCGACGAACCAGGGCUUACCCUGGGGCAGAGCCGCGAACGGGUGAGUAACACGUGGGUAACCUGCCCCGAUGACCGGGACAACUCGAGGAAACUCGGGCUAAUACCGGAUGAAUUCGCGGAACAUAAGUUCUGUGAGAAAAGGUAGCUUCGGCUUCCGCAUUGGGAGGGGCUCGCGGCCCAUUAGCUUGUUGGUGGGGUAACGGCCUACCAAGGCAACGAUGGGUAGCUGGUCUGAGAGGACGAUCAGCCACACUGGGACUGAGACACGGCCCAGACUCCUACGGGAGGCAGCAGUGGGGAAUCUUGCGCAAUGCGCGAAAGCGUGACGCAGCAACGCCGCGUGGGGGAAGACGGCCUUCGGGUUGUAAACCGCUUUUGUCCGGAAAGAAAAGGCACCUCCUAAUACGGGGUGCUCUUGACGGUACCGGAAGAAUAAGCACCGGCUAACUACGUGCCAGCAGCCGCGGUAAUACGAAUCACUAGUGAAUUCGCGGCCGCCUGCAGGUCGACCAUAUGGGAGAGCUCCCACGCGUUGGAUGC